GGAUGUGUUUAACUUGCACGUGCACGGUAGACCAUUCUUACGUACAUACAUGGCUAAUGUGUUGUUAUGCUGACAGAUCGUGGAAAUUGCGCUUUCUCUGCGAGCAGUUACUACACUGAGUAAACAAUAGUGGCUAGUGAAAGGAGAGCCCCAAUACGGGGAAAGUUGGUUGCUACAAACCAUUUUCUUUGCAGAAAUCGACUCUCUCGCGAAACAAUUGACCCCAGAAAAGCUUUACGUGAUGCAGUUAUCCUACAAGACGGCAGAGUGGGUUUGCCGGACAUAAAACAGGAAUGACUUGUUCUGAACACUUAUUCUGAACACUCUAACUACAGUCUGUUCCUCUCUUUAUAUGAAGGAAUAUGAACAAUUCAGGACAUUUGUUGUUGUGGAUUCAGUUAAUGUGUAGUGGUGAGCUAAUAUUUAGUGGUGGAUGUUUUGAUUGAUGUCUUCAGUCAAUGUUUAUUACUUUUAUAUUGUCAACAUUGAUUGGUGAAGAGUUUUAAAAAUUUGUGAUCAAUAUUUAUUGAUUUAUGUAGUAAAUAUCGAUUGAUUAUUAAAGUUAAUAUUUAUAUUGAUCUAAUACAUUUCAUUUUCUAUAAUUAAUUUACACAGUCAAUAUUGUAAAUAGAUUCAAAGUAACUUCUUUAUUCUGGUUGUUGCAGAUUCUAGAGACCUGGAUAACUUCCAUUAUUGCACCUGCCAGAAGACGAAUUACAUGUGUGUUUUAGGCAUAAGUCACCUAUGUUUCGAUUAAUUAACAUUUUCUGGAUCUCGUUAAGUUCAUCUUUCGAGAUUCUCCACAGAGUUACACAGAAAGUGUCUUUACUUCAGGGAGCUGUCGUGACCUGUUUUCUGUAGAAAUGAGUGCAACUAAAUAAUUUGCAGGAUCUUCUGGGAGAUCAGCCAUGCUAAGAGAUUUCUGAAUAAAUUUCAGUUUUGAAAAAACCAAAGGGCGGUGUUUCUUUACUAUGAUGAGAUGGAGCAGUUGAUGAUGCGUAUUCACA